rnacentral:rRNA from 1 species
AGAGGUUGAUUCUGGCUCAGGAUGAACGCUGGCGGCGUGCCUAACACAUGCAAGUCGAGCGAAGCGCUUUACUUGAAUUCUUCGGAAGGAAAGUAUUGUGACUGAGCGGCGGACGGGUGAGUAACGCGUGGGUAACCUGCCUCAUACAGGGGGAUAACAGUUAGAAAUGACUGCUAAUACCGCAUAAGACCACAGCACCGCAUGGUGCGGGGGUAAAAACUCCGGUGGUAUGAGAUGGACCCGCGUCUGAUUAGCUAGUUGGUAAGGUAAGGGCUUACCAAGGCGACGAUCAGUAGCCGACCUGAGAGGGUGACCGGCCACAUUGGGACUGAGACACGGCCCAAACUCCUACGGGAGGCAGCAGUGGGGAAUAUUGCACAAUGGGGGAAACCCUGAUGCAGCGACGCCGCGUGAGUGAUGAAGUAUUUCGGUAUGUAAAGCUCUAUCAGCAGGGAAGAAAAUGACGGUACCUGACUAAGAAGCACCGGCUAAAUACGUGCCAGCAGCCGCGGUAAUACGUAUGGUGCAAGCGUUAUCCGGAUUUACUGGGUGUAAAGGGAGCGUAGACGGAGAGGCAAGUCUGAUGUGAAAACCCGGGGCUCAACCCCGGGACUGCAUUGGAAACUGUUUUUCUAGAGUGUCGGAGAGGCAAGUGGAAUUCCUAGUGUAGCGGUGAAAUGCGUAGAUAUUAGGAGGAACACCAGUGGCGAAGGCGGCUUGCUGGACGACGACUGACGUUGAGGCUCGAAAGCGUGGGGAGCAAACAGGAUUAGAUACCCUGGUAGUCCACGCCGUAAACG